UACAGAGGGUGCGAGCGUUAAUCGGAAUUACUGGGCGUAAAGCGCGCGUAGGCGGCUUUUUCAAGUCGAUUGUGAAAUCCCCCGGGCUUAACCUGGGAACUGCAGUCGAGACUGUCUAGCUAGAGUAUGGGAGAGGGAAGUGGAAUUUCAGGUGUAGCGGUGAAAUGCGUAGAUAUCUGAAGGAACAUCAGUGGCGAAAGCGACUUCCUGGACCAAUACUGACGCUCAUGUGCGAAAGCGUGGGGAGCAAACAGG
rnacentral:rRNA from 1 species